CCCGCUGAACUUAAGCAUAUCAAUAAGCGGAGGAAAAGAAACUAACAAGGAUUCCCCUAGUAACGGCGAGUGAAGCGGGAAGAGCUCAAGCUUAAAAUCUCCGUGCAAGUUUUGCGCGGCGAAUUGUAGUCUAUAGAGGCGUGGUCAGCGUGGGCGCUUGGGGCAAGUUCCUUGGAAGAGGACAGCAUGGAGGGUGAUACUCCCGUUCAUCCCUGAGUGGCUCGUGCGUACGACCCGUUUUCUUUGAGUCGCGUUGUUUGGGAAUGCAGCGCAAAGUAGGUGGUAAAUUCCAUCUAAAGCUAAAUAUUGGUGCGAGACCGAUAGCGAACAAGUACCGUGAGGGAAAGAUGAAAAGAACUUUGAAAAGAGAGUUAAAGAGUACCUGAAACUGCUGAAAGGGAACCGAAUCGUUUCCAGUGUCUAUAAUCUGUGGCAUAUUUCAUUGGCGAGCGUUUGCGUGCGUGUGCUGUGGCAGUGGCUUUUUUGGCUGCGCCUGGCGUGUGUGCUGUGAGUGUUUGCUGGUGCCCUGUGCUGCGGUGGGACGUCAAGGUCAGUUCGUAUGCUGCGGGAAAUGGCUGCCGAGGAGGUAGGGCUUACGCUCCGCGUUUGUCUGUUAUAUCUUGGUGGACGAGUCGUCGUGGUUGGGACUGAGGUGCCUACAACGUGCUUUUGAGUGGGUUUGUGUCUCCGUGUGCGCCGUGUGCGGAUAGCUUGCUAUGCGUGUGUGGUUGUGUGUGGAUUGAUGCGGGCCUUAACUUGUCGCCGUUCGGGACGUUGACGAAAUGGAGCGAUCCGACCCGUCUUGAAACACGGACCAAGGAGUCUAACAUGUGUGCAAGUGUUAGGGUGUGGAAACCCCAGCGCGAAAUGAAAGUGAAGGGCAGCGCAAGUUGUCUGAGGUAGGAAACGUUGCGGGCCUCGGUCUGCGGCGUGGCACUAUCGACCGAUCAUGAACCUUCGUGGUGAAAGAUUUGAGUUUGAGCACAUAUGUUGGUACCCGAAAGAUGGUGAACUAUGCCUGAGUAGGGUGAAGCCAGGGGAAACUCUGGUGGAAGCUCGUAGCGAUUCUGACGUGCAAAUCGAUCGUCAAACUUGGGUAUAGGGGCGAAAGACUAAUCGAACCAUCUAGUAGCUGGUUCCCUCCGAAAUUUCCCUCAGGAUAGCAGCAACUUAUUUACGAUAGUUUUAUGAGGUAAAGCGAAUGAUUAGAGGAUUCGGGGAAGAAACUUCCUCGACCUAUUCUCAAACUUUAAAUCUGUAAGACCUGCAGGUUUCUUAAUUGAACUUGUGGAUGUGAAUAUCAAGUUGCUAGUGGGCCAUACGGGGUAAGCUCGUCUGGCG
rnacentral:rRNA from 1 species